rnacentral:rRNA from 1 species
UACGUAGGGUGCAAGCGUUGUCCGGAAUUAUUGGGCGUAAAGAGCUCGUAGGCGGUCUGUCGCGUCUGCUGUGAAAACUCAGGGCUUAACCCUGAGCUUGCAGUGGGUACGGGCAGACUAGAGUGCGGUAGGGGGAGACUGGAAUUCCAGGUGUAGCGGUGAAAUGCGUAGAUAUCUGGAGGAAUACCGGUGGCGAAGGCGGCAUCCUGGACCGACAUUGACGCUGAUGAGCGAAAAGCUAGGGGGAGCAAACGGGG